rnacentral:rRNA from 1 species
CUGGCGGCAGGCCUAACACAUGCAAGUCGAACGGGUCCCGAAAACCUCGGUUGGCGGGACUAGUGGCGGACGGGUGAGUAACGCGUGGGAACAUACCCUUUGGUUCAGAAUAGCCUCGGGAAACUGGGAGUAAUACUGGAUGUGCCCUUCGGGGGAAAGAUUUAUCGCCAAAGGAUUGGCCCGCGUUGGAUUAGGUAGUUGGUGGGGUAAUGGCCUACCAAGCCGACGAUCCAUAGCUGGUUUGAGAGGAUGAUCAGCCACACUGGGACUGAGACACGGCCCAGACUCCUACGGGAGGCAGCAGUGGGGAAUCUUAGACAAUGGGGGAAACCCUGAUCUAGCCAUGCCGCGUGAUCGAUGAGGGCCUUAGGGUUGUAAAGAUCUUUCAGUGGGGAAGAUAAUGACGGUACCCACAGAAGAAGCCCCGGCUAACUCCGUGCCAGCAGCCGCGGUAAUACGGAGGGGGCUAGCGUUAUUCGGAAUUACUGGGCGUAAAGCGCACGUAGGCGGAUCAGAAAGUCAGAGGUGAAAUCCCAGGGCUCAACCUUGGAACUGCCUUUGAAACUCCUGGUCUUGAGGUCGAGAGAGGUGAGUGGAAUUCCGAGUGUAGAGGUGAAAUUCGUAGAUAUUCGGAGGAACACCAGUGGCGAAGGCGGCUCACUGGCUCGAUACUGACGCUGAGGUGCGAAAGCGUGGGGAGC